UGAAUUUCAUUGAUGUCAUUCGGAGUAACCAAUAUAAAGGGACCAUUUUGGAUCAAGUCAUGCAGUCAGUAUCAUGUGACAGGAUGUGACAUCAUUCAGACACCUGCAAAGGACCACAUGGUCAUGAAGCAAAAGAACGGAACAAACAGGUUUGUUUUCAUCAGUUAUACCAGAACCUGGAAAGAGGCUCAGAGCUACUGCAGACAUUAUUACACAGAUCUGGUCAUCAUUCGGAAUCAAACUGAGAAUAACCAGCUGACUGUGAUGAUGCAACCAUAUGCAAGUGUUUGGAUUGGUCUGUUCAGAGACAUAUGGAAAUGGUCAGAUGCAACAAAUGUCUCCACUUCCUUCAUUACCUGGAUGACAGGACAGCCUGACAUGAUUGGGCUGCAAAGACCUUGUGGUGUUUCAGAUCCUUCUGGUUUGAUCAGUGAUCAGCUCUGCUCAAACGUCCUGCCUUUCCUCUGCAUGGACCGCCGCACAAAACAACAGAUUGUGAGAAUAAAGGUGAAAUCUAGUCAGAAUAUAAUUGACCCUGAAGUGAUGGAGGCCAUCUUACAGUUGAUGAAGCAGAAGCUGAAGGAACAGGGGAUAGAAAAGGACACAAGUGUGACAUGGAACGUUCAACCAAAUGGAAAUGUUUUUCACAAGAUUGAAAAUAAACCAUGAGUUACACUUUUGUGAGGUGAUUUAUCAAAUUGACAGAAGUUUGCAAGAAAAUCAUGACCUUUCUCUUCUCUAAUUAAUUUAAUCAUAUUAUAUUACUUUAUACCAUCCCCUGAGUGCACCAAGUUUUGAGGGAGGCCAAUGUCAGUCCAGGCUCACUUUGAGUCACAGAAGUAUUUAUAAUACACUGUUUCAGUACAUAAAAAUGUAAUUCUGUGCUGGUUGUGAAAUGUAAAUUCAAUAGUACAUGUAAAAUGUGUUAGUAUAUAUUUUUAACUUUAGCAAUAUCUUAAACUUUCAGCAAUAUCCUAAUACCAGUUCAGUGACAAAUAACUGUAACCAUAAUUUUAUUUGAUUUAAGUUUUAUUUUAGCAUAGCUGUGAUUUCAAUGAACAGUGGGGCAUGUCAUGCUGCUUCUUUAUAAAAAGCUUUUGAUUUCUUUUAUUCAAACACUUAAAAUGUACUGUACAGAUAUGAUACAGAUACAAAUUAAAUGUUUUAAAGAGAUCAGUUUUUUCCAAUAAAAUGAGUAGUAAUGUUGGUCAAGAUCAUUUUCUGCAUAUUCAUUUUUUAUUAUUAUUUAGCAUAGGUAAACUGCUAGUAACUGCUAGUAACAUAGGUAAAGUGCUAAUACAUUAUUUUCAAAUUAGU